AUGAACGCUGGCGGCGUGCUUAACACAUGCCAGUCGAACGGAAAGGCCCAAGCUUGCUUGGGUACUCGAGUGGCGAACGGGUGAGUAACACGUGGGUGAUCUGCCCUGCACUUCGGGAUAAGCCUGGGAAACUGGGUCUAAUACCGGAUAGGGCCACAUUUUGGAUGGUGUGGUGGAAAGUUUUUCGGUGUGGGAUGAGCUCGCGGCCUAUCAGCUUGUUGGUGGGGUAAUGGCCUACCAAGGCGUCGACGGGUAGCCGGCCUGAGAGGGUGUACGGCCACAUUAGGACUGAGAUACGGCCCAGACUCCUACGGGAGGCAGCAGUGGGGAAUAUUGCACAAUGGGCGCAAGCCUGAUGCAGCGACGCCGCGUGGGGGAUGACGGCCUUCGGGUUGUAAACUCCUUUCGCUAGGGACGAAGCGUUUUUGUGACGGUACCUGGAGAAGAAGCACCGGCUAACUACGUG
rnacentral:rRNA from 1 species